rnacentral:rRNA from 1 species
CCUAAUUGAGAGCUUGCUCCACGGCGUCGAGCGGCGGACGGGUGAGUAAUGCAUAGGAAUCUGCCCGGUAGUGGGGGAUAACCUGGGGAAACCCAGGCUAAUACCGCAUACGUCCUACGGGAGAAAGCAGGGGAUCUUCGGACCUUGCGCUAUCGGAUGAGCCUAUGUCGGAUUAGCUUGUUGGUGAGGUAAUGGCUCACCAAGGCGACGAUCCGUACCUGGUCUGAAAGGAUGAUCAGCCACAUCGGGACUGAGACACGGCCCGAACUCCUACGGGAGGCAGCAGUGGGGAAUAUUGGACAAUGGGCGAAAGCCUGAUCCGGCCAUGCCGCGUGUGUGAAGAAGGCUUUCGGGUUGUAAAGCACUUUCAGUGAGGAAGAAGGCCUUGGGGCUAAUACCCCCGAGGAAGGACAUCACUCACAGAAGAAGCACCGGCUAACUCCGUGCCAGCAGCCGCGGUAAUACGGAGGGUGCGAGCGUUAAUCGGAAUUACUGGGCGUAAAGCGCGCGUAUGCGGCGUGAUAAGCCGGUUGUGAAAGCCCCGGGCUCAACCUGGGAACGGCAUCCGGAACUGUCAGGCUAGAGUGCAGGAGAGGAAGGUAGAAUUCCCGGUGUAGCGGUGAAAUGCGUAGAGAUCGGGAGGAAUACCAGUGGCGAAGGCGGCUUUCUGGACUGACACUGACGCUGAGGUGCGAAAGCGUGGGUAGCAAACAGGAUUAGAUACCCUGGUAGUCCACGCCGUAAACGAUGUCGACUAGCCGUUGGGGUCCUAGAGACCUUUGUGGCGCAGUUAACGCGAUAAGUCGACCGCCUGGGGAGUACGGCCGCAAGGUUAAAACUCAAAUGAAUUGACGGGGGCCCGCACAAGCGGUGGAGCAUGUGGUUUAAUUCGAUGCAACGCGAAGAACCUUACCUACCCUUGACAUCGUGCGAACUUUCCAGAGAUGGAUUGGUGCCUUCGGGAACGCACAGACAGGUGCUGCAUGGCUGUCGUCAGCUCGUGUUGUGAAAUGUUGGGUUAAGUCCCGUAACGAGCGCAACCCUUGUCCCUAUUUGCCAGCGAUUCGGUCGGGAACUCUAGGGAGACUGCCGGUGACAAACCGGAGGAAGGUGGGGACGACGUCAAGUCAUCAUGGCCCUUACGGGUAGGGCUACACACGUGCUACAAUGGCCGGUACAAAGGGUUGCAAAGCCGCGAGGUGGAGCUAAUCCCGAAAAGCCGGUCUCAGUCCGGAUCGGAGUCUGCAACUCGACUCCGUGAAGUCGGAAUCGCUAGUAAUCGUGAAUCAGAAUGUCACGGUGAAUACGUUCCCGGGCCUUGUACACACCGCCCGUCACACCAUGGGAGUGGACUGCACCAGAAGUGGUUAGCCUAACUCGGAGGACGUCACCAACGAUUGUGCGGGCC